AUCAGGGCAGGGUUAGUCGGCCCCUAAGGCGAGGCCGAAAGGCGUAGUCGAUGGGAACCAGGUUAAUAUUCCUGGGCCAGCGGGUAGUGACGGAUUCCGGACUUUGUUCAUCCUUACUGGAUUGGGUGGGCAAUAAAGGCGUCCCUGGAAAUAGCUCCCGCAUUAGACCGUACCCCAAACCGACACAGGUGGACUGGUA
rnacentral:rRNA from 1 species